UACGUAGGGUGCAAGCGUUAAUCGGAAUUAUUGGGCGUAAAGAGCUCGUAGGCGGUUUGUUGCGUCGGCUGUGAAAUCCCGAGGCUCAACCUCGGGUCUGCAGUCGAUACGAGCAAACUAGAGUGUUGCAGGGGAGACUGGAAUUCCUGGUGUAGCGGUGAAAUGCGCAGAUAUCAGGAGGAACACCGGUGGCGAAGGCGGGUCUCUGGGCAACAACGUGACGCUGGAGGAGCGAAAGCCGUGGGGAGCGAACAGG
rnacentral:rRNA from 1 species